rfam:Habropoda laboriosa contig20559, whole genome shotgun sequence.
CGCGACUGGUGAGUACGCG